rnacentral:ncRNA from 1 species
UCAUUAAUCAAGAAUGAAAGUUGGGGGCUCGAAGAUGAUCAGAUACCGUCCUAGUAUCAACCAUAAAUGAUGCUGACCAGGGAUCGACGGAUGUUUCUCUAAGGACUCCGCCAGCACCUUCUGAGAAAUCAGAGUGUUUGGGUUCCGAGGGGAGUAUGGUCGCAAGGCUGAAACUUAAAGGAAUUGACGAAAGGGCACCACCAGGAGUGGAGCCUGC